rnacentral:rRNA from 1 species
GACGAACGCUGGCGGCGUGCUUAACACAUGCAAGUCGAACGCUGAAGACCUGGCUUUUGUUGAGUUGGAUGAGUGGCGAACGGGUGAGUAACACGUGAGUAACCUGCCCUCUUCUUUGGGAUAACGCCCGGAAACGGGUGCUAAUACUGGAUAUUCACUGAUCUUCGCAUGGGGGUUGGUGGAAAGGUUUGUUCUGGUGGGGGAUGGGCUCGCGGCCUAUCAGCUUGUUGGUGGGGUGAUGGCCUACCAAGGCUUUGACGGGUAGCCGGCCUGAGAGGGUGACCGGACACAUUGGGACUGAGAUACGGCCCAGACUCCUACGGGAGGCAGCAGUGGGGAAUAUUGCACAAUGGGCGAAAGCCUGAUGCAGCGACGCCGCGUGAGGGAUGGAGGCCUUCGGGUUGGAAACCUCUUUCGCUCAUGGUCAAGCCGCAACUGUGGGUUGUGGUGAGGGUAGUGGGUAAAGAAGCGCCGGCUAACUACGUG